GUGCUCGCUUCGGCAGCACAUAUACUAAAAUUGGAACAAUACAAAGAAGAUUAGCAUGGUCCUUGUGAAAGGAUGACAUGCAAAUUCAUGAAGCGUUCCACAUUUUU
rnacentral:snRNA from 1 species